AACAUGGCGGUGGUCCGUAACGGGGUGAGUUGGUUACUUUUCUGAUCUCAGCUUUCUCAGCAGCAAUCCUGCGUCUCUAUCAGCUGCCUCCCACCUUACACCAGACGUACCCCUCUCACCCCACAUUGUUACUAGGGGCAGAGCUUCAAAGGGCAAUCUUCUAGGAGUCAGCUCCUCAAACCUUCGGGGCUGGCUCCGCAUCUCACAAUCCAUCGCUGCAGUCUGGGGCCACCGUGCGCUCUGCCUUUCCUGUUCGCCAAGGCUGGAGAGAAACAGGAACCAGAGGUCCUGCUGCUUGAAGGAGGCACCAGCCACCUCCCGAAUCGGGGCUUCCUAGUUAAUGAAGUGAAACAGAUCUAUAGACGACAACUGGGGUGUGUGAGUCAUGCUCCAAAGAGACCGGUGCUGUUCUCGCUUGGGCAGCACAUAUACAGAGACCGAUGCAUAAACCACCGUUAUUUUGAAGCUUGGGCACACUUACUGAAAGUCUGAUUCUACUUGGAAAGGCGAUUUCCAUCCAGCUCCAGGAAUCAGGACUGCCCUCCUUUCUCUGAAACAUCAAAUCACAAGCUCCUGCCGCUUCCCCGAAAAUGCUGAAAUUUCGAGAUUUUGCGGAUUGCACCACAUUUUCAGGCUACAUUCAAACCUAUUUACCUACAGACUAUAAUGACGUAUUUGAAGGAGGGCCAAUCUUGCCGUUGUUCCCCAUCUUACCACUGUACUUCCAAACCAGUCUUGGCAGAAGUGUAAACAGCACUGCAAAAAGGAACUUUAAAAGUUAGAUUUUUUUUUUUUCUUUUAGAGAUGAGCAACUUCUCCAAACUUCCUCCUGGUAACCACAUACUCAACACCCUCUCCUUUCUGUAACAAAGGCGUGGAGGGACGAGACCACCCAAGUAGGCUGGUGAAAACAAAAAGGUACAGACUUUAUUCACCUGGGCAGAGCAAGCAAGAGGCCAUCAGCCUCGAACGAAGAAAAGGCAGAAAGCUUUAUAGGGCAUUGAAAGAGAGGUCUAGGACGUCUAUCACGUAUAGGGGUCAGAGCAAAUAUUUCUGGUCGGGGUCCAUGCAGCGAUCAAGGCAGAUGUAUAUAUUUUUAGGUGACUUGGCAUUGAAAAGAUGCUGCUUUGUGGUUGUUAUCUCUAUGUUGGGAACAACCCAUCCUGUGCUCUGUGUUCUAUCUGCUCCAAGAUAGCAGGCUUUUGUUGCUUGCAAUUAAAGAGCAUAUUCAUUAACCAUUUCACGACCAAAUCAAGCCUGAUCCGCCUCAGUCCAAAAGAAAUGACAGAUUAUGCAGGUGCCUGCCUCAGGAGGCAGAAGCCGGGUUUCCUUUCCACAAGAAAGAGGAUGAGCUGAAUGAAGGCGGCUGGAAGUUAACCAGAGCUUAGGAACCUGAGUGGCCAGGAAAAGAAACAUCACAAGGGGGAGCCUGACACCUCAUUCUAAGAGUGUGCUGGCACUGGGGGCACAGCCAAGUCUCUUUCCUCAACACAUGAUGUGAAUCAAAAUUCAGAUCUGCUCUGAAGCAUUUACAGAACCAGCACUUCAGUCUUCCAAAAUACUCACCAUGAAUGUCACCUUCUCCCUGGAAAAGAAAAGACAAAAAUUUACUUCCUAUUUUAAUUUCCAACACACGGAACAGUCAGAGACGAGGGGCUGACAUCUAGACAGAGUCAAAUGUGAAAUUCCAUUCUGAUGCAAUCAAGUGAGGAGCAGGUGGCAACCUUUACUCAACCUGGGACAACGCUGUACAACAAUUCUGCACAAUAAAUUGCCCCAAUCCCAGUGACAACACACACACACACACACACAGAGGUGAUAGUUACUUUAAUGACCUAAAGCCAAUUAGCAUUUCAGAAGAUCUUUCAUGAGAACGGGAAACCAAUCUAUCCUCCACUUUCUCUCCUUUUCCUUCCCCAGAUGCUGAAGCACCCCUGAGUCCAAAUCUCCCGACAGCUGUCCCCACGCCAGGCAGCCACUGCUCCUCUGUGCUAUACAGUCCUUAGUCAGAAGACGUCCUUCUAGGUGAGGUCUUUACACAGAGUACACCCCGAGGCUUCACAGCACUACUCCUCUGCAGAUACUCCUAAGAGUAAUACCGGUAACUAGGCACGGUGGUACAGCCCAGGAACCCCAGCACUCUGGCAGCUAAGGCAGGAAAAUCAGAAGUUCCAGCCUAGCCUGGGCAACUUAUGGAGACCCUGUCUCAUAAUUAAAAAUUUAAAAAUGAGCUGAGAUGUGGGGCUCAAUAGGAAGGCCUGGGUUCUAUCCUCAGUAGCACUAGUGCUACACUCUCCUAGAGUUCAACUCAAAGAAACACCUGCAAACUACUGAAAUAGUCCUUGAACUGAGAAUGCUAUUCUAAUGAGAUAAAAAGGAAGUUAGUGUGACCCGGAAGUCCCCAAAAUCACUACUGAAGGACCUGAGAUGAAUCCUUAUGGCAAAAGA